CAGGAUGCCCAGUUAAAUUCAGAUUUCAGAUAAACAACAAAUACUUGUUUAGUAUAAGUAUGUCCCAUGCAGUAUUUGGAACAUACUUAUACUAAAGAAGUAUUUGUAGUUUACCUGAAAUUCAAAUUUAGCUAGGUAUCCUGUA
rnacentral:miRNA from 1 species